GCUGACAUCUGAUAGUGCUCACAUAAAGACAGCGGUGGGAGAUUUGAGGGGCUGAUGGGAGGUCUGAGGACCUGGUAGAAACCACGCCGCCCUCGUGCGAUCUCACAGCUCGUCCUCGUUCGGCCUCGGCUGCAUCGGAGCGCCACUUCUCCCCGGGUUCACCAGAGGAAACACCACUGCACAAAAUGCUUCUCCUCCCAGCUGCUGCUCUGUGCUGUCUGUGUUCAGCGCUGGUUGCCAUGGCAGCAGAGCUGAUUCAGGAUGAUUUAACAUUGACCAGGAGAGUUGGUGAAAAAGUCUCCUUCAGCUGUCGAGGAACUCAACAGUGUAGCAGUAAUAAUGUAUACUGGUACCAGAAGAAAGACACAGAAACAUUCAGAAGGAUUCUUGAUAUUGACAGGAGUGGUUGUACCGUAGCUCACAGGUACAAUCAUCCUCAGAUAGAUGAUUUCUCAGCUGUGAAUAAACAGGACGGCUGUGAGUUGGAGAUCCAGACAGUUAAACUCCAUCAUUCAGCCUCCUACUACUGCAGCUGUGGGAUCCCCACAGUGAGAAAUGAUCCCUGCAGCCUGAACAAAAACCAACAGAUGAACAGAUGUCAAACAGUGUUUGUGACAGGAAGUAAACCACAGCCCAGGUUCACAUAUUUCACCUCCAUCUCAGCAGAGUCACAAACAUCCUGAAGUGACACAUUUAUUAAAGAUGAGAUUUAUUCACAGUUUCAUCACAUAUUCCAGCAGGAUUUCUGUAGUUUAACACAGUGAAGACAAACGAGCA